rnacentral:rRNA from 1 species
AUUGAACGCUGGCGGCAGGCCUAACACAUGCAAGUCGAGCGGAGCGGCGGACGGGUGAGUAAUGCAUAGGAAUAUGCCUGGUAGUGGGGGAUAACGUCCGGAAACGGGCGCUAAUACCGCAUACUAUCAGAUGAGCCUAGGUCGUAUUAGCUAGUUGGUGGGGUAAAGGCCUACCAAGGCGACGAUCCGUAACUGGUCUGAGGGGAUGAGCAGUUACACUGGAACGUAGACACUGUCCAGACUCCUACAGUAGGCAGCAGUGGGGAAUAUUGGACAAUGGGCGAAAGCCUGAUCAAGCCAUGCCGCGUGUGUGAAGAAGGUCUUCGGAUUGUAAAGCACUUUAAGUUGGGAGGCGUUACCAACAGAAUAAGCACCGGCUAACUUCGUGCCAGCAGCCGCGGUAAUAC